AGGCAAGAUUUUUACGGCGUAUUCUUAUCGAACCAUGUCAGAUCCGGAAGGAAGCAGCAUUAAGGUAUUGAAUAUGGGUGUAAUUUUUUCUUCCUAGAG
rnacentral:SRP_RNA from 1 species